UUAAAAGAUCUGAGAAAAACUUUACGGGGCGUGUCCAUUCGAAAGAAAUGGGAGAAAUGGGAAGUGUAUAAAGGAUAAAAAUAUAAAAAGAAAUUGGGAAAGAAAGAUGGUGGAAAUGAGAGCGUAGUGAAGAAGAGUGGAGUGUCGGUGAAAUUUACACUUGAAAGGUGCAGCCAAAAGUGCGAGUGUUGGUCGUCGUCAGACGUGUUUUAGAAGGAAAAAAGAAAGAAGAAAAUAGAGAGAAAAAAGAAGAAAUAGAGAAAGAAAACAGAAAAAAAAGAAAAGUAGAAAGAUUAGAAAGCCAAGAAAAAGAUUAAGUGUGCUAGGAGAAGCAGUGGAGAUUGCACCGGUGCAACGAGUUCUACGUGCCGUGCAUAAUUUUGGACAUAAGUGAGACAGAGAGAGAGAGAGGGAGAGAGACAGAGAAAGAAAGAGAGAUAAGGAUGAAAUAAAUGAGAGAAGAAGAAGAAGGAAAGUACCCUUCCCAUCUAUCGUGCUUGGAAAUCAGUAAAGAAAAGGAAGGAAGCAACAAAAGAGAAUUUUGAAAGAGGAGCCGCCACGGGCCAACUCGAGUGGGAGAAACUCUCGCAACAUGUGGUUAACGCGAAGUAACGACUCUGCGUUGUAACGUUACUGCUUAGACAGACAUAUUGUGGGCUUUAGUGCUCGCGAGAAAUAUAUAUAUAUAUAUAUAUAUGUACGUAUAUUAUAUAAAAAAUAUUUUGAAAAUCCGACAGGAAGGUUCCGACUCUACUUGACACAACUCUCUUUCAGCUUUCUCUUUUUUUUUAUUACAAAAAAAAUAUUAAUUACAUGUAGAAUUCGCGAAGAAUUAUUUCCAAGAUCAAAUUCGCGAAUCGCGAAUAUUACGUUUCAAAGCGAACGUUUAAAUAAUAUUUUCUAUGAAAGAAUAUUUUAUCGUCGGGAGUGUAUGCAUUUUGUUUUUGUUAUCGUUACGUUUUGUUUUGUUUUCGGAAAGAAUAUCUUUAAGAAAGAAGUUUAGAAGCUUAUCGUAGAGAAAAUCGAUGCGGAUGGUUCGAUGUUCGUAUUUAAAGCUUUUUUGAAUACACCCACACGUGCGUUCGAUUCGCAGCACAAGCUCCAGUCCGCAGGAGCGACGUAAAUUUCACGCGUAUUUACGUUUAUACGAUCUUGUGUUCGCGAAAGAAAGAGAGAGAGAGAGAGAGAGAGAGAGAGAGAGAGAG